GACGAACGCUGGCGGCGUGCUUAACACAUGCAAGUCGAACGGAAAUGCCCUGCUUGUGUGUGGUUCUCGAGUGGCGAACGGGUGAGUAACACGUGAGUAACCUGCCCUUUACUUUGGGAUAACUUGAGGAAACUGGGGCUAAUACCGGUUAUGAGAUCCUGCUGCAUGGUGUGGGGUGGAAAGGUUCGGCGGUUGGGGAUGGACCCGCGGUUUAUCAUCUUGUUGGUGGGGUUGUGGCUUACCAAGGCUUUGAGGGGUAGCCGGCCUGAGAGGGUGACCGGCCACAUUGCGCCUGAGAUACGGCCCAGACUCCUACGGGAGGCAGCAGUGGGGAAUAUUGCACAAUGGGCGGAAGCCUGAUGCAGCAACGCCGCGUGCGGGAUGACGGCCUUCGGGUUGUAAACCGCUUUCGCCUGUGACGAAGCGUGAGUGACGGUAAUGGGUAAAGAAGCACCGGCUAACUACGUG
rnacentral:rRNA from 1 species